rnacentral:rRNA from 1 species
CAGCGACUUAUAUUCUGUAGCAAGGUUAACCGCAUAGGGGAGCCGGAGGGAAACCGAGUCUUAAUUGGGCGUUAAGUUGCAGGGUAUAGACCCGAAACCCGGUGAUCUAGCCAUGGGCAGGUUGAAGGUUGGGUAACACUAACUGGAGGACCGAACCGACUAAUGUUGAAAAAUUAGCGGAUGACCUGUGGCUGGGGGUGAAAGGCCAAUCAAACCGGGAGAUAGCUGGUUCUCCCCGAAAGCUAUUUAGGUAGCGCCUCGUGAAUUCAUCUCCGGGGGUAGAGCACUGUUUCGGCUAGGGGGCCAUCCCGGCUUACCAACCCGAUGCAAACUGCGAAUACCGGAGAAUGUUAUCACGGGAGACACACGGCGGGUGCUAACGUCCGUCGUGAAGAGGGAAACAACCCAGACCGCCAGCUAAGGUCCCAAAGUCAUGGUUAAGUGGGAAACGAUGUGGGAAGGCCCAGACAGCCAGGAUGUUGGCUUAGAAGCAGCCAUCAUUUAAAGAAAGCGUAAUAGCUCACUGGUCGAGUCGGCCUGCGCGGAAGAUGUAACGGGGCUAAACCAUGCACCGAAGCUGCGGCAGCGGCGCUUAUGUGUUGUUGGGUAGGGGAGCGUUCUGUAAGCCUGCGAAGGUGUGUCGUGAGGCAUGCUGGAGGUAUCAGAAGUGCGAAUGCUGACAUAAGUAACGAUAAAGCGGGUGAAAAGCCCGCUCGCCGGAAGACCAAGGGUUCCUGUCCAACGUUAAUCGGGGCAGGGUGAGUCGACCCCUAAGGCGAGGCCGAAAGGCGUAGUCGAUGGGAAACGGGUUAAUAUUCCCGUACUUGGUGUUACUGCGAAGGGGGGACGGAGAAGGCUAUGUUGGCCGGGCGACGGUUGUCCCGGUUUAAGCGUGUAGGUGUGUGUUCCAGGUAAAUCCGGUUCACUUUAACACUGAGGCGUGACGACGAGGCACCACGGUGCUGAAGCAACAAAUGCCCUGCUUCCAGGAAAAGCCUCUAAGCAUCAGGUAACAUCAAAUCGUACCCCAAACCGACACAGGUGGUCAGGUAGAGAAUACCAAGGCGCUUGAGAGAACUCGGGUGAAGGAACUAGGCAAAAUGGUGCCGUAACUUCGGGAGAAGGCACGCUGACACGUAGGUGAAGUGAUUUACUCAUGGAGCUGAAGUCAGUCGAAGAUACCAGCUGGCUGCAACUGUUUAUUAAAAACACAGCACUGUGCAAACACGAAAGUGGACGUAUACGGUGUGACGCCUGCCCGGUGCCGGAAGGUUAAUUGAUGGGGUCAGCGCAAGCGAAGCUCCUGAUCGAAGCCCCGGUAAACGGCGGCCGUAACUAUAACGGUCCUAAGGUAGCGAAAUUCCUUGUCGGGUAAGUUCCGACCUGCACGAAUGGCGUAAUGAUGGCCAGGCUGUCUCCACCCGAGACUCAGUGAAAUUGAACUCGCUGUGAAGAUGCAGUGUACCCGCGGCAAGACGGAAAGACCCCGUGAACCUUUACUAUAGCUUGACACUGAACAUUGAGCCUUGAUGUGUAGGAUAGGUGGGAGGCUUUGAAGUGUG